CUCCUAGAUUUGCAUUUUGAGACAUGGAGGGAGUUUGUUUCUGGACAAAUUGCUACCAGUAUCGGUUUUUUGCAUUCCAAGAAGUGCUUGAUUGGCGAGUUUUCAUCCUUGGAGAUUUUCUUCGGGUUUCCUUUGUUAAUUGCACUUAGGGUUUUGCUUCGCUUUAAUGAUGAGCACAGGGUACGUGAUGCUACAUUCUUCUGAUAAAGGUGCUGCAUCUUAAGUGCACAUGUACAAGCAACAAAGAGAACAGGUUGGAUCAGAUCUGCAUUAAAAUGUGGGGAGGCAGCAGAGAAGGGUCUUUUCUUGAGAAGUCUAUCUUGGAGAAUUAUUGGUUGGAAGAGGCUCUUAUGGUUAUGCAGAGUAACUUGUUUUUGAUGCUCUUCUGAGUCUUAUGUCUUAGCAGUUUGGUGUUAGAGCCAAAACUUGGAAUUUCGAAAAAUGUGAAGGCAGCCAAAACUUGUGUCUUAGCUGAUUUGGUUCAUCACCCUUCCGCUCAUCCUUCCUCUCCUUAAUACUCUUUUGAUAUAAACCUGAUUCAUGUGCCUUUGACAAGUCUUUUUAACAUGAGAUUAAUUAUCAGCUAUCAAAAACAACCAACCAAAAUUACAUGAAUGGACAUAAUGGAGAAGAGACAAACUCUAUUCUGUAUUGUGAACUACAAUCUACAUUUCUUGGGUGUGGCUUCUUGGAAUUUUGUUUGAAAAAGAUGUGACUCGUGAGUACUUGGCGAGUUGGCAUGGCUCCUAUUUGCUUUUAGGUGCCACCCCCAGAAGUAGCCUAGGCCAUCCUAUGUAAAUUGCGAACUUGUUUUUACUUUUUAGCCCUUAUUUCAAAAUUCCACACACUUCUCUUUCAGAAUCUUACCCAAUGCUAUAAAUUCUAUCCUAUGAUCAAUUUUGGAUGGGAUUGUCUAUUCAAAUUUCAAACUCUAUGGCUAGAACAUUUGUAUAUUAAAACCCCAAGCAUUUGGCAUAUUGGUUUAUAAAGAGAUCAUGUCUAUACUUUAUUUGCCUAUAUUUAUGUUUCACGUACAUGUUCAAGGCCCUUUAUUUUCUCCUUUUCCAGCCUUGCAUUCACAUAAAUUACUGUAUAACAAACCCAUAAACAUUCUUUUGGUAAUUAUUCUUGAUUUGGAAAUGUUUUACCAGCAACUUAUGAACUAUAUUUCUCCCAAGAUAUUGUCCCAAUUUGUACCAGCAUCCAAAGAUAUUAGUCAUAUAUUGAUCAUGUCUUGGAUAUAAACAUUUCAGUUUUUCCUCUGAUUUUUUAUUUGUUCAUUAUUUUGAUUUUUACAAGUAUUUCUCUACCCUUCUACAAUGCUUCCAGUGCUUUUGUAUGAUAUUCCCAAUUUUUGUGUAGAUUUCUUUGGAUGGUGAGAAUUGGUGGAGGAGAAUAUUGUGUAGAUAAAGGAGCAGCUCCAAAGAUGUUGAACUGUCUUAUGUCUGUUGGUUAUUGCUGCUAUAUCCUUUGCGUAUUCAUGUUGGGUAAACUUGAGGACUGCCUUCAACUUUUGGUAGAAAGAGGGUUGACUUUUUGGCUAUCGGAUUCCAGAGGCUGCUUUAAUGGCUUGAUCCUAUCUCCCAAGCAAGGUCUCAGUGACAAUUUGGAGAAAAGAUCUCACUAAGGCUACAUGGUGUUUGCUAUGAGAAUCCCUUGGCACCGUUGAUACGUGAGUUAGGACUUACACUAUAGCAUGUCGGUGGUGAUAACUCUGUCAUAUAUGAUCAUGACUUGGAAAGUCUGAAGAAGCAGAGAGGUAUUGGUUUGUUGCACUGUCCACAUUCAAUUAUAUAUAGGUCAUUUUUCUUGUAGUGCGGUUUUCUUGAUUCAUACAAUGAAAGCUUCUGGACACAACUAAAUCUGGAUGACAUUUCCUACAAUGCACCAUGUGAAAUUGUUUCAAAAGAUUUCAAUGGCUCUUUUCAAAGUACAGAUGCUACCCAGAUCCUUGAUUCUUGUGCAAUGUCUCCUACAACUAGCGAAAGUAAUAUUGUUCUGGAUAAUGACUUUGUCGACUUUCUGGAUGCAUACGAAGAUGCAAUGGUUGAUAACCUUUGGACAGAGUCAUAUGUAGCUAACAUGUUCCACAUUCCAAGCGAACUACUUAUUCUCUUCGUGGCAGAAUCUGAAUAUUUUACUCCAAUAUAUAAUGAUCUGUGGGGUUGUCAUUUGUAUUAGCUCAUUCUAAUGAACAAAAUCACUCCUUGUUCAUAGAACAAUAGUUUUGAGAGUAACACUGGUAUUAUACACAGUCAUAAAUAAUGAUAAUGAUAGUUAUUAUUACUUA